UAUUUGAAUACAAAUAAAAUAUUUGUGAAUAUAGGUAGGUAAUCAGAAGUUCUAUAAUUCCAAUGGAAUGAUAACUGGAAUUCAAAAUGAAUUGAAAUGUCCAAUGAAUAUUGGCAUCGUUGUUUUGUCUUGCUGGAGUUGGAUACUAACAUUUUUUUUUCUAUGGAGAGUAAUGGGGCAUUUUCUAUUGACAUAAAACUUCUUCAUCCUUUUGGCCUUAAUGCUUAUGUUGUCUAAGAUUUAACUUUUGAAAUUUGAAAUUAGCUGAGCGUAAAAUUUUUCAAAAAAGCUUUUGAAUAUAUCAUUUGAAAAUGCCCCAUGCUCUCAUUCCUUCAUUUUGUUUCUCUCAUUCCACCGGGUGCUUCUACGUGAUGAAGGUGGUAAACACGGAUACGGUGCAAUAAAACUAAAGUAUAUAUUCUAAGUAUAUGAGUUGGGCCCAGUUGUUGCUAUGCUGUAUUGGAUAGGGCAUCCUCCUAUCUCGAAGAGGAAGCCAAGUCAUCCUCCAAAGGCUGCUCCUGCUGGUGGUUCGGCUGCUGUUGUUGUGGUGGCAGCUGAAGCUUCAAGUGGCGACUCCUGUUCAUUGCUAUCUCUAAUCCUGCCAUUGCUGUGACUGCAUUGCGGUCGGCAUCCAUGGUUGUGCCUGCUAUUCAUCACAACCAGGAGAAUUUAGAAGAGCAUUUGGAGAAUACCAAUGUGAUUAAUUUCAGCUGCUUUUGCAAUUUUUGCAGGUUUGAUAUUUACUUCUAAAUGAUGCAUUGAAGCUUUAUAAUAUAUAGCAUGAAGUAAUAAAUUAGCCAGCACUGACAGUAAAUGCUACAAUAGCAACAAUUAAUCCUAUUUUAUUUACAACAUGAGAAUCCAAAGCUUCUUACUAUUGGAAAACGAGGUGGAUCUAUUAUUAAGUAAAUACAAAGUAAAGAAAUGACUUCCGAUAUCAACUUUGGAUAUGUACUAUACUAUUGUUAUUACUAAGAAAUUAAAUGUUGAAUCCAUUUGUUAUUAUAAUUUUAUCAUAACACAGAAGUAUGUCAUUGUCAUUUGACUGCUAUUUUUAUGAGUUGGAAUAUUCCUCUUAAUUCAUAUUAUUUGAUGGUUUUACUUUUUAGUUUUGGAAUUAACUGAAUAAUAUUUGUGCUGCAAUUGUUCUUUGAAAAUAUGUUUUUUCUUAUAUUUUUUUUUCAUCUUGUUUUAUGUCUAGAUUAUGUUGUAGAUCUUUUACUUAGUCAAUAUCUUAGUUUUUACUUGAAAUGGUAUUGCUAUUCUAAUUUACCUUUUCGCUACUGCUUUUGGUUUGUUUUCAGGAUGACAUAAUUAAUAAUUUGUUUCAUUUUACUGAUAUUCAUUAUUUUGUGUUGUAUUUUCUAUUUAUUUUACUUUGUUUUAAAAAUAUAAUUGAAGCUAAAAAUUUCUUUUACUAGGUGAUAGCCAAGUAACUAUGUUGAAGCAUAAUUUCUUAUUUGAAUUUUGGUCUCUAAUCAUUGCCUUAUUUGAUCUAUACUUAUUUCGAUUUAUAAAUUUGGUGUUUGAUACUCAUAGAAAUGUUUAUAUCACAAAUUUCUUCUCUCCAGCAGAUUCUAUGAUGAAAAUGCCAUGUCACUGACAUUUAGUGUUUUUGCGGAGCUAAUUAAGGAAAUGUGAAUUAGAUCAUGUUUUAUUGUGUUUAUUGUAUUUUUUUGCUAAAUCAAAGGCCAGUCCAUACAAGGUAUGUCAUGUAAGUUUUAGUCAUCUAAUCUAUCAUUGACAUAUAUAGAGAUUUGAUUUAUGACCUAUUAAAAUAGAUAUUCCCAUUGCAAUGACUUUUACUAUUGAAGUAGGAUGAGAAAUUUCAAUCCACAUGGUAAUUCAUCUUUCUUUUUAUUUUUAUCUUAGGCUAACUACGAAUUUUGCUUUUUCAAAUUUCAUGCUUUCAUUUUCGAUCGAUGAUAUCUUUUACUGCAGAUUUUUUUAAUACUUAUUGGUUUAUUUUUUUCUUAUUGGGAAGCUUACAUAUUCCUUAUCAUUUUAAUUGUUCUGUUGUUUCAUGAUAACAUUUGUGCAUUAAGUUGUUCUAUUGUCUAUAUGCGGCAAUUUCAGGCUAUUGAUACAUUUCUUGGAUUUUUUUUUUAUUAAAUUUGCAAAUCCAUUUUUUUAUGUGGUUGGAUAAUUUUUCAGAUACAUUUCUUGGAUUUUUAGUUCUUGAAGAAGAGAAGGCAAAAAAUAAGUGUUUAAUUUUAGCUUUAUUUGAUGUUUUAAACUCCUAAUGCAUCCUCACUUUUAUUCUUCUCUUUUUAGCCAUUGAGAAUGUUAUGACUAUGACUAAUAUUCCAAAGGAAGAGGCAGUUUGUAAAAUUUGUGCUCAUUAUAAUAAAAUAUGCUUUACUGAAUUUUAUAAAAUAUUAGAGGUAAAUAUUAGGUAAAACAUCAAAGACUUACCCAAGAAAAUGAUGCUUUCUUCGUUGAUGUAUUUAUUCUUCUGUUUUUCACCUAUUCUAUUUUUUUUUAAUUACGAUAUUAAUGCUGUUUUUGAAUCAAUUUGAUGCAGGAUUCAAAUUUUCUACUAUUAUGGAUUGUUACUAUUUUGUGAUAAAAUUUUUUACUAACAAUUUUGUCUUGGUGAUUCUAUUUUUUGAAAAGCUUUCAAGUUUAAUGGACCAUCAAAAUUUCUAUAUUUAUUUUUUGUGUGCUUUUCAUUAUAAGAAGAUUAUUAAGUUACUUAAAGAUCAAAUUAGGAAUUUGGUCCCUCAAAAAUACACUUGACAUGAGAUUAAAAAAAUUUGUGGUAUUUUCAACCUUAAAAUGCAUUUCAUAGUUCAUCUUAGAAAUGUGUUAUAUCUAUUUGACUAAAUAUGGGAUUUUAGACAUAAAUAUACUCAUUUUGUAAGGGUUUUUGACAUCAAUUUUUUUUUUACUUAUAUAAAUCUCUAUAUAUUAAUAUUAUGUCUUUUUAGCAGCAGCAGUAAAGACAAAAAUUCUAACAAAUAAGUAAGAGGACCAAUUCUAAGAAAUAAAAACUUGCUUCUUUAAUGAUAGAAAAGCAAGUAGUCUCUUAGCAUGUAGGAUAAUCUCCUAUGUUUCUCAUACUGUUAAUGAAGGGUCUUAGAUAAAUACUUUUUGCUUAUCUUACUUUAUAGAAGUGUGUAUUUAUUUUACUUUUGGUUUUUUUGGGUACGUUCUGUGCUCUUUGUUGUUAUUACUUUUAAAGUGUUUUGAGUUUUAUUAUUUUAUUGUACUACUUUAAAGUUGAAUAAUUCCAAUUAAAGUAAUUUUAGCCUAAAAGCAUGAACUACGAAAUGGUAACUUAGAAAUUUAGGAUAUAUAUGUUAUGCUUAGCAAAGACAGGUUAUAGUUUUGUAUUUGUUAUUGGACCUAUAAAAGUAAUAGAAGGUUGAGGAUAACUCUUUGACUUUUUGUUUCCAUGAACCCACGUAUUUACAGACCAAAAGUCAAGAUUAUUUUCAUAACUUCAUUUUCAAUUGAUUUCAGUUAAACAACAAGUCAUGUAACUUCUGUUGAGAUGCUGAUAAAUCAUGUUGAAUGUGAAGGCCAUGGUUUUAUUGAAUGAAUAAAUUCUCUGUUUUGGUG